rnacentral:tRNA from 17 species
CCGGGUGUAGCGCAGUUGGUAGCGCGCUUGGUUCGGGACCAAGAGGCCGUGGGUUCAAAUCCCGCCACUCGGACCA